UCUGUGAUGACUGCGAUCGUGGCUAU
rnacentral:piRNA from 1 species